ensembl:lincRNA Gm14664 predicted gene 14664
GGUCAAGUCGCUCACCAUAAGGAAGAAUGGAGAGAAGGGAUAUUUUAAGAUUUGUUUUCUAGUGCUGCGAAUGAUCUCAGGUGGGAAAAUGCUUGCCUUACAUGCAAGAAUUCCUGGCUUCAAUCUCUGCACUUCAUGAAUAGUCCCAGAACCACAGAAGUCCAUAAAGUAUCUAGUUAGCCUAAGAAGAAAAAGAGAGGAAAAAUGGCAAAAUGUACAUCAGAGAGGAAGCCUCCACCUAGAUCUAUAACAAGUGCAUCUAAAGACAAGAGGGGAAGGCCACAAAAAAUCCUGCCAACAACACUCGAAGAGAAAUUAAUCUUAUACAACCAAGAGACAAAGGAAGAUUCCACCGCCUCUGGGGGUGGGCUUUUUGCUAGUUGGGCUAGGUCAGACUCAAAAAAAUCUGGUUAACUAUG